rnacentral:rRNA from 1 species
UAAUACGAAGGGGGCUAGCGUUGCUCGGAAUCACUGGGCGUAAAGGGUGCGUAGGCGGGUCUUUAAGUCAGGGGUGAAAUCCUGGAGCUCAACUCCAGAACUGCCUUUGAUACUGAAGAUCUUGAGUUCGGGAGAGGUGAGUGGAACUGCGAGUGUAGAGGUGAAAUUCGUAGAUAUUCGCAAGAACACCAGUGGCGAAGGCGGCUCACUGGCCCGAUACUGACGCUGAGGCACGAAAGCGUGGGGAGCAAACAGGAUUAGAUACCCUGGUAGUCCACGCCGUAAACGAUGGAUGCUAGCCGUUGGCGGGUUUACCCGUCAGUGGCGCAGCUAACGCUUUAAGCAUCCCGCCUGGGGAGUACGGUCGCAAGAUUA